rnacentral:rRNA from 1 species
UACAGAGGCCUCGAGCGUUAGGCGGAAUCACUGGGCUUAAAGCGUGUGUAGGCGGACUUCUAAGUCCCUUGUGAAAUCCCACGGCUCACCCGUGGAACUGCUCGGUAUACUGGUCGUCUUGAGCCUUCUAGGGGCGAGUGGAACAAAUGGUGGAGCGGUGAAAUGCGUAGAUAUCAUUUGGAACGCCAAUGGUGAAAACAACUCGCUGGGGAAGUGCUGACGCUGAGACACGAAAGCCAGGGGAGCGAACGGG